rnacentral:rRNA from 1 species
UACACUCCUACGGGAGGCAGCAGUGGGGAAUAUUGGACAAUGGGCGCAAGCCUGAUCCAGCCAUGCCGCGUGAGUGAUGAAGGCCCUAGGGUUGUAAAGCUCUUUCACCGGUGAAGAUAAUGACGGUAACCGGAGAAGAAGCCCCGGCUAACUUCGUGCCAGCAGCCGCGGUAAUACGAAGGGGGCUAGCGUUGUUCGGAUUUACUGGGCGUAAAGCGCACGUAGGCGGACUAUUAAGUCAGGGGUGAAAUCCCGGGGCUCAACCCCGGAACUGCCUUUGAUACUGGUAGUCUUGAGUUCGAGAGAGGUGAGUGGAAUUCCGAGUGUAGAGGUGAAAUUCGUAGAUAUUCGGAGGAACACCAGUGGCGAAGGCGGCUCACUGGCUCGAUACUGACGCUGAGGUGCGAAAGCGUGGGGAGCAAACAGGAUUAGAUACCCCGGUAGUCCCAUGA